rnacentral:lncRNA from 1 species
UAGGAGGCCUCUAAAUGCCAGUUCUGAACCAACUGAUAAAUGUUGACAAUUAAAUUAGGAGAUGUGGCCCCUGUCCCUGGGGUGCUUCCAGUCUAAGGAGAAGUGGGCAGACACAGUCCAGAAAUGACAGGGAGGCACAUAGACAGCAAUCAAUGUGUGAGUUACUUAAUGGUGCCAUCUAUGCAGAUAGGCAGGGUCUGAGGAAUUAGAAUAAAGAUGGCACCAGAGCUUCCCUUAGAGCCGACUUGGCUUCCUCAACUGGGUGAUGAUGUGAGCCAGAUGGCUUGCAUCCCUUCCUGCCAGGGUAGCCUGCGGAGGCCAGGUUUUAAGGGGGAUUUAGGAAGGAAGGGAUGGGGGGGGCUAUCUCUCAAGCUUUGGGACCAUAGGGGACAGGCAAAUCUGUCCAGGGGUCCCCCAGAAGGCCAGCACCAUGCUAGGAGGCCCAGACUGGCCACAUGCUGUGAGCUGUAAGAAACAGCCUUAGUGACAGGCUAGAUGCUGAUCAUUCUGCCAACAUGAAGCCGCCGCAGUCCUCUGGCUUAGGAAACUCCAUAAAGUGGCCCCAGGAUAGAUCUGUGUACUCUUUCUUCUGCUGUCAAGUGGCUCAUGGCUCCAUGCAGGAUAAUGCUGACCAACAUCCAGGAGAACAAAGAAGCAGCUCGGGGGACUCCAAGGGCCAGGAACAAGAAGGCUGGAAGAAUGACUCCUUUACAUCUCUGAGUUUGGUGGAAUCUGGGGACUCCUCAGAGCAAAGCAGGGGCCCUCGCUCUGUCAGGGCCUCCAUCUCCUCCUCAUCCCCAUCCUUCCAUCCUCUCCUGCCUCGUUUCUCUCCCUUGCCCAAGCGUCCAGACAGCCCUUACUUCCCAGUCCUGCAGAGGGAAUGAACUGGAUCAGGCACCAAGAAACAGCCCAAGGCUCAAGGCAGAAGUACAGGAACAGCUG